UACGGGGGGGGGCAAGCGUUGUUCGGAAUUACUGGGCGUAAAGGGCUCGUAGGCGCCAACUAAGUCAGACGUGAAAUCCCUCGGCUUAACCGGGGAACUGCGUCUGAUACUGGAUGGCUUGAGUUUGGGAGAGGGAUGCGGAAUUCCAGGUGUAGCGAUGAAAUGCGUAGAUAUCUGGAGGAACACCGGUGGCGAAGGCGGCAUCCUGGACCAACACUGACGCUGAGGAGCGAAAGCCAGGGGAGCAAACGGG
rnacentral:rRNA from 1 species